GGGGAAUUUUCCGCAAUGGGCGCAAGUCUGACGGAGCAACGCCGCGUGCAGGAGGACGCUUUUCGGAGUGUAAACUGCUUUUCUGUGGGACGAGCGAGGACGGUACCACAGGAAGAAGCCCCGGCUAACUACGUGCCAGCAGCCGCGGUAAUACGUAGGGGGCGAGCGUUGUCCGGAGUUACUGGGCGUAAAGGGCAUGCAGGCGGUCGGACGCGUUUCCAGUGACAGUGGGUGGCUUACCUACCCGAGGAUUGGAAAGACGGUUUGACUUGAGGACUCGAGAGGGACACGGAAUUCCGGGUGGAGUGGUGAAAUGCGUAGAGAUCCGGAGGAACAUCAAAGGCGAAGGCAGUGUCCUGGCGAGUAACUGACGCUGAGGUGCGAAAGCUAGGGGAGCGAAAGGGAUUAGAUACCCCUGUAGUC
rnacentral:rRNA from 1 species